CACGUAGGGCGCAAGCGUUGUCCGGAAUUAUUGGGCGUAAAGAGCUCGUAGGCGGUCUGUUACGUCUGCUGUGAAAACCCUGGGCUUAACCCUGGGCUUGCAGUGGAUACGGGCAGACUAGAGGCAGGUAGGGGAGAAUGGAAUUCCCGGUGUAGCGGUGAAAUGCGCAGAUAUCGGGAGGAACACCGGUGGCGAAGGCGGUUCUCUGGGCCUGACCUGACGCUGAGGAGCGAAAGCGUGGGGAG
rnacentral:rRNA from 1 species